rnacentral:rRNA from 1 species
GAUGAACGCUGGCGGCGUGCCUAAUACAUGCAAGUCGAGCGAACAGACGAGGAGCUUGCUCCUCUGACGUUAGCGGCGGACGGGUGAGUAACACGUGGAUAACCUACCUAUAAGACUGGGAUAACUUCGGGAAACCGGAGCUAAUACCGGAUAAUAUAUUGAACCGGAUGGUUCAAUAGUGAAAGACGGUUUUGCUGUCACUUAUAGAUGGAUCCGCGCCGCAUUAGCUAGUUGGUAAGGUAACGGCUUACCAAGGCAACGAUGCGUAGCCGACCUGAGAGGGUGAUCGGCCACACUGGAACUGAGACACGGUCCAGACUCCUACGGGAGGCAGCAGUAGGGAAUCUUCCGCAAAGGGCGAAAGCUUGACGGAGCAACGCCGCGUGAGUGAUGAAGGUCUUCGGAUCGUAAAACUCUGUUAUUAGGGAAGAACAAAUGUGUAAGUAACUAUGCACGUCUUGACGGUACCUAAUCAGAAAGCCACGGCUAACUACGUG